AUUGAACGCUGGCGGCAUGCCUUACACAUGCAAGUCGAACGGCAGCACGGGAGCAAUCCUGGUGGCGAGUGGCGAACGGGUGAGUAAUAUAUCGGAACGUGCCCAGUCGUGGGGGAUAACGUAGCGAAAGCUACGCUAAUACCGCAUACGAUCUACGGAUGAAAGCGGGGGAUCGCAAGACCUCGCGCGAUUGGAGCGGCCGAUAUCAGAUUAGCUAGUUGGUGGGGUAAAAGCUCACCAAGGCGACGAUCUGUAGCUGGUCUGAGAGGACGACCAGCCACACUGGAACUGAGAUACGGUCCAGACUCCUACGGGAGGCAGCAGUAGGGAAUAUUGGGCAAUGGGCGGAAGCCUGACCCAGCCAUGCCGCGUGAAGGAAGACGGCCUUAUGGGUUGUAAACUUCUUUACUAUGCGACUAACUAGAUUUACGAGAUAAUUCUAUAGAAUGUAAGCAUAAGCAAAAAGCACCGGCUAACCCGUG
rnacentral:rRNA from 1 species